CGAGAAUCAUUCACAAUGGGCGAAAGCCUGAUGGUGCGACGCCGCGUGGAGGAUGACAGCCCUAGGGUUGUAAACUCCUGUCAUGAGAGAGUAAAGACUUAACGUUAAUACCGUUGGGUCCUGAUAGUAUCUCAAGAGGAAGGGACGGCUAACUUCGUGCCAGCAGCCGCGGUAAUACGAAGGUCCCAAGCGUUGUUCGGAAUUACUGGGCGUAAAGCGUGCGUAGGCGGCAUGGUAAGUCAGAUGUGAAAUCCCGGGGCUCAACCUCGGAACUGCAUCCGAUACUGCCAAGCUAGAGUAGUGGAGGGGAGUCUGGAAUUCACGGUGUAGCAGUGAAAUGCGUAGAUAUCGUGAGGAACACUAGUGGCGAAGGCGAGACUCUGGACACUAACUGACGCUGAGGCACGAAGGCUAGGGUAGCGAAAGGG
rnacentral:rRNA from 1 species